rnacentral:rRNA from 1 species
AGAAUCAACGCUGGCGGCGUGCCUAACACAUGCAAGUCGAACGAGAAAGUGGAGCAAUCCAUGAGUAAAGUGGCGCACGGGUGAGUAACACGUGACUAACCUACCCUUGAGUGGGGGAUAACCUAGGGAAACCUGGGCUAAUACCGCAUAAUACCUUCGGGUCAAAGGAGCAAUUCGCUUAAGGAGGGGGCCGCGGCCGAUUAGUUAGUUGGCGGGGUAAUGGCCCACCAAGACGAUGAUCGGUAUCCGGCCUGAGAGGGCGCACGGACACACUGGAACUGAAACACGGUCCAGACUCCUACGGGAGGCAGCAGUGGGGAAUUUGCGCAAUGGGGGAAACCCUGACGCAGCAACGCCGCGUGGAGGAUGAAGCCCCUUGGGGCGUAAACUCCUUUCGAUCGGGACGAUUAUGACGGUACCGGAAGAAGAAGCCCCGGCUAACUUCGUGCCAGCAGCCGC